ACAUCCUGUCUCUGUGUGUGGAGCUGGCUGGAAUCUCUCAGCCUCACCUGCCAGACAACACCCCCUCCUUCCUCACCCUGUCUCCUGCAUUCUCCUGAAACCUUCAUCCACACAAUGCCUCCCAACCUCACUGGCUACUACCGCUUUGUCUCGCAGAAGAACAUGGAGGACUACCUGCAAGCCCUAAGUAAUGGCCUCGCCCUCCCAGACCCCUGUCACUCCCUUUCUCCCCUCUUCCUUCCUGCUUCUUGGUCCCAUGGAGAAGAGGGAAUGCCCGGGGUUGGACACUGUGGAAAGGCUCAGGCGGCUGGCACCAGACCUGGGAUCCAUUUCUAACCAGGCAUUGGUAGGAGGGGGUGAAUCCACAGUCCCAGACCCAAAGAAGGGAAACUCACAGCCCUGAGGGGCUGCUGCAGGCAGAGGAGCUCCUGGCUGGCUAGCAGCACCCCUACUAACAGGCAGCCCCCACAGACAUCAGCUUGGCUGUGCGGAAGAUCGCGCUGCUGCUGAAGCCGGACAAGGAGAUCGAACACCAGGGCAACCACAUGACGGUGAGGACGCUCAGCACCUUCCGAAACUACACUGUGCAGUUUGAUGUGGGAGUGGAGUUUGAGGAGGACCUCAGGAGCGUGGACGGACGAAAAUGCCAGACCAUAGUAACCUGGGAGGAGGAGCACCUGGUGUGUGUGCAGAAAGGGGAGGUCCCCAACCGGGGCUGGAGACACUGGCUGGAGGGAGAGAUGCUGUAUCUGGAACUGACUGCAAGGGAUGCAGUGUGCGAGCAGGUCUUCAGGAAGGUCAGAUAGCCGGAGAGGAGCCAAGAUCCCUCCAGACAGCACCAGCUCACAGACGCUCUUGUUGUGCCCCCUUCAAGCCCAGAUUGUGCCAGGUUGUCUGUGUGACCAAUGGAAUAAGGCAGAAAUGAUGCUACGUCACUUCCAAGGCUGGCUUAUAAAAGACACUGUCACCUCUGCCUUGUUCUUUCCACCUUGGGUCACUCUGGGGAAAGCCAGCUGCUAUGCCGCGAGGACACUCAAGCGUCCUAUGAGGAGGGCCAUGUGGCAGGGAACUGAGGCCGCCUGCCCACAUCCAUGUGAGUGACCGUCUGGAAGCAGACCUCCAGCCCCAGUCCCGCCUCUGGAGGACUGCAGCCUGCACCUGGACCAAAGCCUUGUGAGAGACCCUGAUCCUAAACUACCCAUCUCAGCCGCUUCUGGAUUCCUGACCCACAGAAACUGUGUGAAAUAGUACAUACUUGCUGUUUUAAACAAAAUGUGGGGGUGACUUUUUACAAGCAGACAGAUAACUGCAACAUAGUCUCAACCUUGAAUUUCAUUGCAAAUGACCCCAUCCUGACCAUAACCUCAAUAUUCGCUAAGUGGGCAGAAGAAUGGGGUUGGGGGGUGGGGGCAGUAGAUGACUUCGGGCAGUAAAAAUGUGUCCAGUCACAAAAAGGCAUGACUCCAUCCUCAGUGCUCACAGCCCUCCCAUCCUAGCUCUAAGCUAGACCCUUCCACGAGUCUAGAGAGUGAAGUUCAGAGGCAGGCAGCUGCCCCCUUUCCCUUCCUCUUUGAGGCCCACCCACCUGAGUCCUGUCUGAGGACUGCCUCUCCCCUAGGUAAUUGUUAAAAGGAAUGUCCAGCAUCUUCAGAUGGUACCCUGCUCGUUUCAAAGUUGUGUGACCUUACUCUGUGGCUUCAAAAGGACAAAGACAUCAGAAUACAACUCAAUGCACCUCACGCCAUUAGACAGCAUGAGUGACAAGCCGCAGGGAGGAUAUAUCAGACAGCACCAGAUCUUAGCUGGUAGGAAGCUGAUUGACAAGUUCUGUGGAGGACAGAGCAGCAGAGCCCUGAAGUCCACAGCAAUAAGGGGAAGAUGGUGUUCUAGACACACCAGCAGGGAAGAGCCAAACCUGGAUGGUCAGUUUGACCUCCCAGGGUAAGGAGCCUCUGGGUCUUCUCUACCUCUCCCAGGACCACCACAGUGAAACUAGAGCCAGAGGGUUCUUUGCUGAAAAGAGGGUGAGUGAGGUGGAGAGAUGCAGAUGAGAGGAGGCUUUAUGCAGAAGCCAUCAGGUUGUGCCAUAUCUAAAGCCUGGAAAAAGGAGGAUACCAGCUGAUAGGAUUUGGCUCUAUGUCCCCAACCAAAUCUCAUGUGGAAUUGUAAUCCCCACGUGUUGGAGGAGGGGCCUGGUGAGAGGUGAUUGGAUCAUGGGGGCAGUUUCUAAUGGUUUAGUGCCAUCCCCCUAGUGCUGUCUCCCGAUGGAAUUCUCAUGAGAUCUGGUUGUUUAAAAGUGUGUAGACUUCUCCCUUCUUCUCUUUCUCCUGCUGCCAUGUGAAGAAGGUCCUUGCUUCCCCUUCGCCUUCUGCCAUGAUUAUAAGCUUCCUGAGGCCUCCCAGUCAUGCUUCCUGUUAAGCCCGCAGAACUGUGAGUCAAUUAAACUUCUUCUCUUCAUG
rnacentral:lncRNA from 1 species